UGAUGAGAUGAGAGUGUGAAUAGGAAUUGCCGUCAGAUCGACACAUGACGAAACCUCAUGCUCUGAUG
rfam:Nematostella vectensis strain CH2 x CH6 NEMVEscaffold_3_Cont613, whole genome shotgun sequence.